GGCGGACGGGUGAGUAACACGUAAGAAUUUGCCUUUAGGAGGGGGACAACAACUGGAAACGGCUGCUAAUACCCCAUAUGCUUUCGAGUGAAAUGGAUUUUUCCGCCUAGAGAGAAGCUUGCGGCUGAUUAGCUUGUUGGUGAGGUAAUGGCUCACCAAGGCGACGAUCAGUAUCUGGUUUGAGAGGACGAUCAGACACACUGGAACUGAGACACGGUCCAGACUCCUACGGGAGGCAGCAGUAGGGAAUUUUCCGCAAUGGGCGAAAGCCUGACGGAGCAAUCUCGCGUGAGGGAUGACGGCCUAUGGGUUGUAAACCUCUUUUUUCAGGGAGGAAUCAAUGACGUGUACCUGAAGAAUAAGCAUCGGCUAACUCCGUGCCAGCAGCCGCGGUAAGACGGAGGAUGCAAGUGUUAUCCGGAAUCACUGGGCGUAAAGCGUCUGUAGGUGGUUUAAUAAGUCAACUGUUAAAUCUUGAAGCUCAACUUCGAAAUCGCAGUCGAAACUAUUAGACUAGAGUAUAGUAGGGGUAAAGGGAAUUUCCAGUGGAGCGGUGAAAUGCGUAGAGAUUGGAAAGAACACCGAUGGCGAAGGCACUUUACUGGGCUAUUACUAACACUCAGAGACGAAAGCUAGGGUAGCAAAUGGGA
rnacentral:rRNA from 1 species